rnacentral:misc_RNA from 1 species
ACAAUCCCCUGUUAAUGUUUCUUCCUUAUAUUGCAAAAUAUUUGGUAAUGCCUUCCAUGCCAAUUAGUGCCCCUCUACCUGGGUUUUCAUUAUAAACUACAUACUGCAGUUAACUUAUAUACAGCACAAUUGAUGUUCAGUUGAUGUUCCUAUGGAGUUAAUUAGGUAUUGACAGAUAUUGAUCUAGUUAUAUAAGUAUUUUCACUGAAGAUGAAUGUUCAAAUGAUAUGUAAUGAAGCUUUUUUGGAAAUAAAAAAUGAAACUGU